rnacentral:rRNA from 1 species
UACGUAGGUGGCAAGCGUUAUCCGGAAUUAUUGGGCGUAAAGCGCGCGCAGGCGGUCCUUUAAGUCUGAUGUGAAAGCCCACGGCUCAACCGUGGAGGGUCAUUGGAAACUGGGGGACUUGAGUGCAGAAGAGGAGAGCGGAAUUCCACGUGUAGCGGUGAAAUGCGUAGAGAUGUGGAGGAACACCGAUGGCGAAGGCAGCCCCCUGGGCUGAGAUUGACGCUCAGGCACGAAAGCGUGGGGAGCAAACAGG